rnacentral:rRNA from 1 species
GGCUCAGAUUGAACGCUGGCGAUGUACGUGCGUGUGCAAGUCGAGCGGCAGCGGGACCUCGCGGGUUGCCGGCGAGCGGCGGACGGGUGAGUAAUCGUGCAUCUGCCUGUUAGUGGGCGUGGAUAACGCGGGGAAACUCGCGCUAAUACCGCAUACGUCCUACGGGAGAAAGUGGGGGACCCUCGGGCCUCACGCUAACAGAUGAGCCUAGGUCGGAUUAGCUAGUUGGUGGGGUAAAGGCCCACCAAGGCGACGAUCCGUAACUGGUCUGAGAGGAUGAUCAGUCACACUGGAACUGAGACACGGUCCAGACUCCUACGGGAGGCAGCAGUGGGGAAUAUUGGACAAUGGGCGAAAGCCUGAUCCAGCCAUGCCGCGUGUGUGAAGAAGGUCUUCGGAUUGUAAAGCACUUUAAGUUGGGAGGAAGGGCGCUCGGUGAAUACCCAAGCGUCUUGACGUUACCGACAGAAUAAGCACCGGCUAACUUCGUGCCAGCAGCCGCGGUAAUACGAAGCGUGAAAGCGUUAAUCGGAAUUACUGGGCGUAAAGCGCGCGUAGGUGGUUCGGCAAGUUGGAUGUGAAAGCCCCGGGCUCAACCUGGGAACCGCAUCCAAAACUACUGGGCUAGAGUACGGUAGAGGGUGGUGGAAUUUCCUGUGUAGCGGUGAAAUGCGUAGAUAUAGGAAGGAACACCAGUGGCGAAGGCGACCACCUGGACCGAUACUGACACUGAGGUGCGAAAGCGUGGGGAGCAAACAGGAUUAGAUACCCUGGUAGUCCACGCCGUAAACGAUGUCGACGUGAGCCGUUGGGCUCCUUGAGAGCUUAGUGGCGCAGCUAGCAUUAAGUCGACCGCCUGGGGAGUACGGCGGCAAGGUUAAAACUCAAAUGAAUUGACGGGGGCCCGCACAAGCGGUGGAGCAUGUGGUUUAAUUAUUGCGUGCGCGAAGAACCUUACCUGGCCUUGACAUCCUGCGAACUUUCACAUUGAUGGGUGCCUUCGGGAGCGCAGAGUUAGGUACAGGUGCUGCAUGGCUGUCGUCAGCUCGUGUGAGCGUGUGGGUUAAGUCCCGUAACGAGCGUAGUCGUGAACUUGUCCUUAGUUACCAGCGAUUCGGUCCUCUAAGG